GACACGGUCCAAACUCCUACGGGAGGCAGCAGUGAGGAAUAUUGGUCAAUGGGCGAGAGCCUGAACCAGCCAAGUAGCGUGAAGGAUGAAGGCUCUAUGGGUCGUAAACUUCUUUUAUAUGGGAAUAAAGUUUUCCACGUGUGGAAUUUUGUAUGUACCAUAUGAAUAAGGAUCGGCUAACUCCGUGCCAGCAGCCGCGGUAAUACGGAGGAUCCGAGCGUUAUCCGGAUUUAUUGGGUUUAAAGGGAGCGUAGGUGGAUUGUUAAGUCAGUUGUGAAAGUUUGCGGCUCAACCGUAAAAUUGCAGUUGAAACUGGGAGUCUUGAGUACAGUAGAGGUGGGCGGAAUUCGUGGUGUAGCGGUGAAAUGCUUAGAUAUCACGAAGAACUCCGAUUGCGAAGGCAGCUCACUAGACUGUCACUGACACUGAUGCUCGAAAGUGUGGGUAUCAAACAGGAUUAGAUACCCUGGUAGUCCACACAGUAAACGAUGAAUACUCGCUGUUUGCGAUAUACAGUAAGCGGCCAAGCGAAAGCAUUAAGUAUUCCACCUGGGGAGUACGCCGGCAACGGUGAAACUCAAAGGAAUUGACGGGGGCCCGCACAAGCGGAGGAACAUGUGGUUUAAUUCGAUGAUACGCGAGGAACCUUACCCGGGCUUAAAUUGCAACAGAAUAUAUUGGAAACAGUAUAGCCGUAAGGCUGUUGUGAAGGUGCUGCAUGGUUGUCGUCAGCUCGUGCCGUGAGGUGUCGGCUUAAGUGCCAUAACGAGCGCAACCCUUAUCUUUAGUUACUAACAGGUCAUGCUGAGGACUCUAGAGAGACUGCCGUCGUAAGAUGUGAGGAAGGUGGGGAUGACGUCAAAUCAGCACGGCCCUUACGUCCGGGGCUACACACGUGUUACAAUGGGGGGUACAGAAGGCAGCUACCUGGUGACAGGAUGCUAAUCCCAAAAACCUCUCUCAGUUCGGAUCGAAGUCUGCAACCCGACUUCGUGAAGCUGGAUUCGCUAGUAAUCGCGCAUCAGCCAUGGCGCGGUGAAUACGUUCCCGGGCCUUGUACACACCGCCCGUCAAGCCAUGAAAGCCGGGGGUACCUGAAGUACGUAACCGCAAGGAGCGUCCUAGGGUAAAACUGGUAAUUGGGGCUAAGUCGUAACAAGGUAGCCGUACCGGAAGGUGCGGCUG
rnacentral:rRNA from 1 species